ACAUCGCACGGGAGGAAUUUUAUUGACCGACAAGAAAAGUUGGGGCGGGGAAAUGAGGAUGCCAGCUGUUGAUUGGUUCUGCGUUUAGACCGGUUAGCGUUGGACUCCAACCCCAAUUAGUUAACAGUGUGAAUUAUGGGGAUUGUAGGCAAGAACAUCUGGAGCUCACUAGGCUAUCGCUGAGCUAAGGAGAUGCCCACACAGUGCCUACUCAGAGGUAAGCAUCACUGAGACCAGCGGAGCUUACUCACAGAAUCGUGAGGGGCUUUGGGGUCCCCUUGGAAGACCACCUCCCCCAUGAAGUCGGUAUAGAACAAGAGCAUCCCUUCGAAGGAGAGCCAGCCUGGGGGAGGAAUCGGAAGACAGUGAGGGAGGCAGCACGGUUUGGAAGGCGAGAAAAUCAAGCAGCGGUUAUGCAAGGCAGCCUGCUUCCAAGGAUGUGGCAACCCCGGGGCUAUAUAGAGAAGCAGUGAUUUGUAUAAAUUUUU